UGCCCAAGAGAUCGGGAUAACACCUGGAAACAGAUGCUAAUACCGGAUAACAACAGAUGAUGCCUAUCAACUGUUUAAAAGAUGGUUCUGCUAUCACUCUUGGAUGGACCUGCGGUGCAUUAGCUAGUUGGUAGGGUAACGGCCUACCAAGGCGAUGAUGCAUAGCCGAGUUGAGAGACUGAUCGGCCACAUUGGGACUGAGACACGGCCCAAACUCCUACGGGAGGCAGCAGCG
rnacentral:rRNA from 1 species